rnacentral:rRNA from 1 species
CAGCCGCCGCGGUAACACCGAGGGUGCGAGCGUUAAUCGGAUUUACUGGGCGUAAAGCGUGCGUAGGCGGCUUCUUAAGUCGGAUGUGAAAUCCCUGAGCUUAACUUAGGAAUUGCAUUCGAUAAUGGGAAGCUAGAGUAUGGGAGAGGAUGGUAGAAUUCCAGGUGUAGCGGUGAAAUGCGUAGAGAUCUGGAGGAAUACCGAUGGCGAAGGCAGCCAUCUGGCCUAAUACUGACGCUGAGGUACGAAAGCAUGGGGAGCAAACAGGAUUAGAUACCCCAGUAGUCCCUGUCUCUUAUAC